UAAAUAAAAACAAAAGCCCACUGGAGAAAAUCUAGGGUAUGCAGAGAACAAAAAAUCUGAACCCUAAAAGAUAUGCAUCAUUUUCUUUUGCAUCUCUUUUGUUUCAUCAAGAAGGUAUUCCCUCCUUGUCCGCCAUGCACGUUGUGCUUGACUCGAGCUAAAGAUGAACAGGGUGUUGACUGAUUUUGCAUGGCUUAAAGUUAAUGUGUAGCCAUAGUAUUUCUUAAAACCAUGCAUGAAGAGGACUUUAUAAAACUGUAGCAUCAGUUUCCAUGGUGAUUUGAGGGUUUACUUUCUAUUGAUUCAUACAUUCAUUCUUCAUGUGAUUUAUUAUCUUGAUUUCUCUGUAUUAUUUUGUUUUGGGAUUAUUUUGUUUUUGCCAAAACCUAACAUUAUCUUGCACUUAUAAUGUGUGGGUUUAUAAAUAUAGAACUGUGCAAGAUAAUGUUAGGGUUUGGAGGAAAAUAUGGUGCGGCUCUUUAAGGACCUUAGACUUGUGUGACACUGAUUUCAAUGUGAAUGCAUCUUUGCUCACUAUUUUCUCUGCUAUGUAUUCUUAUUGACAGUAAUGGUCUAUAAAUACUUUCCUCUCUUUUCAAACUAUGAGGGUUAUCCUUA